UGUGUGUGCAGCAGCGCGCGCGGUCGGACGGCGCGUGGGGCGCGCGUGACGCCGACGCCUGGCCGACGCUGCUCGACGAAGAAAUAUCCUGCGUAGAAGACAGAAACUUCCCGUAUGAGCAAAUACAGAGGGAGGAGUGCGUGUCGGCGGGCGCGGCCGAGCCCAGCAAGCGCAGCCGGCUGCUGCGCGCCGACGUCAGCUGCACGGCCGCGGAGCCCAGACGCAGCUCACGGCGCAGCAACGGCAACAGCGACGACUGGUGGUCCCCCGGCCGGCAGCGGCUCGGCGACAACGGCGACGCCAACAUCAUUCUAGAGACGGAGAUAGAGGCGGAGCGCGCGGAGGGCGGGCGCGUGGCGCAGACCGGCACGCAGACCUCGCC